rnacentral:tRNA from 1 species
GGGGAUGUGGCUCAAGCGGUAGCGCGCUCACCUGGCAUGUGUGGGGUGUUGGGUUCGAUCCUCAGCACCACA